GCGCUUCAUCACCAGCCCUUCCAUGCCCUUUGGUCCCAGGUCGUGGAUGAACGACAGCUGACUUACUCCAAUGAACUCCAUCGUUCCAUGGUAGUUCCUGUACAUGGGCAUCUUUAGGAUCUUUGACAGGUAGUCUUCCAGCUGUUUCCUGCGGCUGGAGAAGUGCUCCUCCCGCACCGUGCUCUCGGCUGUGUGUGGAAGGCUGGGCAUCUGCCGUGGCUCUCCCCUCUUGAUGGAUUGUCUUCUCACCGUGUGGCUCCUGGUGGGGAUGGGGAUGCGCACAAAGGCUUUGUAGCGCAGCAGCUCCCGGUGGAACUCCUGGAAGUGCCUGAACUUCCUCUUCACAUGCCAUGUGAACUCCCCGUGGGUCAGCUCGAUGGUGUACACGUUGAGGCUUGGGACCUUCUUGGUGGAAGUGAAGCGCUCCACCUCCAGCACACGCA
rnacentral:lncRNA from 1 species